rnacentral:rRNA from 1 species
GAUGAACGCUGGCGGCGUGCCUAAUACAUGCAAGUCGAGCGAACAGACGAGGAGCUUGCUCCUCUGACGUUAGCGGCGGACGGGUGAGUAACACGUGGAUAACCUACCUAUAAGACUGGGAUAACUUCGGGAAACCGGAGCUAAUACCGGAUAAUAUAUUGAACCGCAUGGUUCAAUAGUGAAAGACGGUUUUGCUGUCACUUAUAGAUGGUUCCGCGCCGCAUUGGCUAGUUGGUAAGGUAACGGCUUACCAAGGCAACGAUGCGUAGCCGACCUGAGAGGGUGAUCGGCCACACUGGAACUGAGACACGGUCCAGACUCCUACGGGAGGCAGCAGUAGGGAAUCUUCCGCAAUGGGCGAAAGCCUGACGGAGCAACGCCGCGUGAGUGAAGAAGGUCUUCGGAUCGUAAAACUCUGUUAUUAGGGAAGAACAAAUGUGUAAGUAACUAUGCACGUCUUGACGGUACCUAAUCAGAAAGCCACGGCUAACUACGUG